AUCUUAAAAGAAUAUAAAACAUGUCGUGUAAUUAAAUGGGGUUAUGUGUUACUCAUCAGAAUGCCCUGCAAAUCAGGAAAUAACGUGCGAGAGCCUGCGCUCGUCCCAUGGAUACAUAUACACUGUGCCGCCGGAGAUCCCGUGCUCUGAAAAGUGCGAACAAGGAUGGUACUAUCAGAAUGGGACGUUUAUUGUCGACUCAACUCCGAAUGCCGGUGGAAGGAGGUUACCGGUUGUAGUGGAUGUAACGCCUCAGAAUCUGACAAUCCGUGUCUGCGAGAAUCUGCAGUGGCAACUUGACUGUGGCAAGUGUAGCUGUGUUAUCAAUUAUACAGUUACAGAUUUGAAACAUUCAGCAGCACGUGACCCCCUGCCAAGAAAUAAUACAACAUGGGAUGAACAAGAUGGCAGCCAUGAUGGCAACAGUAAGCGUAAUAGUUUUAAACCUUUAAAAGUCUGAUAUUUCACCUUAAAAUCUAAAUCUUCUAUAAUCUUCUUAUCUUUUUACAUGUAUGAUCAACAGAUUUACCUGCCUGGGUGAUUGCUUUAAUCAUAAUCGUGGUUGUUGGAGUAUGUACCGCCAUUUUGGUCAUUGGAAAAAGGUGAGUGCCUUUUACAAAGUUGGGUUUAAUAUGUAAAGAUGACAUUGUCCUUCUGUCCUAUUAGAAGAAAUAAAGAACAUUUCAUUCAUGUAACUGGUGCAAUUACAUUAUUUGUGUGUGUGUGUGUGUGUGUGUGUGUGUGUGUGUGUGUAAACAGUUAGGUCCAUAUAUAUUUGGACACAGGCACAAUUUUUAUUAUUUUAGCUAUUUAGCUAUUUUAGCAAUUUCACAAAUGAUGACUGAAAGACUUUUGAUUUUUUUUUACCACAGGGCAAAAUGCUUCUGUAAACAAAAAGAUGUACUUUAGUGGCAAUGAUUUGUGCCUUCGAGCAAAUCACCUCAGGUUCCUCCAGAGGGACUGUGCCUGGAAUACAUGUUAUAUAAGCCACUUUGGCAAAAACUUUAAAUGACCAAAAUAAUCACUAUCGUACUUUCUUUAUUUCCACUUUUUUUUCUUGUAUGAUUUUCACAAACGUUGUUUUAGUAGUUUUUAGCAUCUAACUUUUAUGGAUUGUAGAGCUUUGUGUGUGCUUUUUAAUCCAAUGUAACCUUAAAUCUGUCUUGUGCUACAUGACAUACAGAGCUAUAGAGGACACUGACACUGAAAUUAAGAAAAAUUGCAUUAUCUAAAACAAAUUUUAAUAAUGAUGAAUUAGAUCAUUUUAUUUAGCGUUGUAUUAUAUAUAUAUAUAUAUAUAUAUCAUAUACAUAAAUCAUAAAUAAAUAUAAAAAAAUUAAUAUAUCUAUAUACUGACAUGCACAGUUUUUCCUUAA
rnacentral:lncRNA from 1 species